UACAGAGGUCCCAAGCGUUGUUCGGAUUCACUGGGCGUAAAGGGUGCGUAGGUGGUGAGAUAAGUCGGAUGUGAAAUCUCCAAGCUCAACUUGGAAACUGCAUUGGAAACUAUCUUGCUAGAGGGUUUGAGGGGGGACUGGAAUACUUGGUGUAGCAGUGAAAUGCGUAGAUAUCAGGAGGAAUACCGAUGGCGAAGGCAGGUCUCUGGGCUGACACUGACGCUCAUGCACGAAAGCGUGGGGAGCAAACAGG
rnacentral:rRNA from 1 species